UACGGAGGAUCCAAGCGUUAUCCGGAAUCAUUGGGUUUAAAGGGUCCGUAGGCGGUCUAAUAAGUCAGUGGUGAAAUCCUUCCGCUUAACGGGAGAACGGCCAUUGAUACUGUUAGACUUGAAUUAUUAGGAAGUAACUAGAAUAUGUAGUGUAGCGGUGAAAUGCUUAGAGAUUACAUGGAAUACCAAUUGCGAAGGCAGGUUACUACUAAUGGAUUGACGCUGAUGGACGAAAGCGUGGGUAGCGAACAGG
rnacentral:rRNA from 1 species